UCUCCCAGUACGGCAGCUGCUAGUGGACAUGCCUCUACAGAAAGCACUGGUAACAACUGUUAAUUUACUGACGAGUCACAACAACAGAAUUUUCUCUCCUGACCUGAAUCUUCUCAAAACAGCAAAUGAAGAGAUUGUUCAUGAUGCUUGUGCUGUAGGAAAGAAAAAAAGGGAAAAGGAGCCUCACAUAGCAUUUGCCUCCUGCUGCCAGACGCAGAAGCAAGACGCCGGAACCACUGAGUCGUACCUGAGUCUCCCAUGUGUAUUACUUAUGUCAAACGUGUUACACGAAGGAGCAAUUCCAUAUUCAGGAGGCAGAAGAAGGUCCUGCUCCUGGCACUUGGGAAUCCCGAUUAUCCAAGAAAGCUGCACUUACGUUAUCUUCUAUCAGAAAUAAGUUCCGCAGUCAAGAAAGGGGUAAGCAAAAAAGCUUUUUCGAUGGGGGAGCAUUUUUAGUGGUCACAUUCACUGAAAGGUUACAACCGUGUUCAGCAAAGUACUUAAGGAUAUACUUAACUUUAAGCAUGUGAGUAGUCCCAUUAAGUUAAAGAACUACUCAUAUGGCUAACAUUAAGCAUGAGUGUAAAUAUUUUGCUGUAUCAAGGUCUUUAUCAGUAGAUACACCACCAGGCCCAUGGAUCUGGAAGGGUAACUUGAAAUAGCUCUGUAUUUUACUGAAAAUUUAAGUACAAAUAUAAGGGGUUAAAAUGUUUCCACUGAGGUCAUUACUCUUGUUAGGAAAAGAUCAAUUAUAUUUGUCAUAAUGCCAGUCAAUGGGACAAACAUUUAUAUUUCAAAAUGUCAGAGUAUUUCCAGUAUUAAUACAGAGCAUUCCAGUUCAUUCCAAAGGAGUUUAUUUUCGAAUUCUGUUCCCAUUAUUUGUGUGUGGAAUAGUUAAUGUAUAAGGUUCCAUUUCAAUAAAAUAUAUGGAGAUUAUGAGGCUGCCACAGCCACAGUGUGGGAGCCAGACAAUUUUUUUUUAUUGAAUCAGGUCAUAAAGCAGCAGUUCACAAAUGUACAGAGUUCUGAUAAAGAGCUAUAUAGCACAUAUAUUGUAAUUCAAUGCUGGCAGUGAAAGGAAGUAAUUAAAAACCAGGUACAAUUAUAGAAAAGGCACCAAGAGCACUGACCCCAGUUUUUUGCCACAAUCUUUGUGUUUACCCUUCUUUUAAAGACACCAGUUUAAAAGCUUCUCAUUUGUGAAUAUUUUUAGGCUUCACAAAAGCCUGGAGUUUAAACAUUUUAGUUGGUGGCCAGGAUCAAGUAAGAGCAACUAUUCCAAAACUAACCAUGUAAAAUUUACACCAACCAUUUGGAAAUUUUAAACUGGUACUAGCAACAUAAAGUCACAGAAGCAAUUUCUGAUUUCAGCUACACUUGUGUAAAUCCAGAGUAACUGCACUGACUUCAGGAGAUUUACUCCUGAUAUAUACUAGUGUAAUUAAGAUCAGGCCCCUAUUGUCUAAACUUCAUGACAAUUUUUAAUUAGUAUUUCAAUUUUAAAAGUACCUGAUUUCUUUGGCUCCUCACUAUGUGGAAAUAGCAAUAUACCAUGACACCCCUACAAGACCAGUUUGCAUCUUUUAAGUUUUACUUUUUAUUUUUUAAAAUUUUUGUGCAUUUUUAUUACAUUUUCUGACUUCCAGCAGGAGAUAUGAAAAUGUGAAACAUAUUUUCUACUUUCAUACUAUUUCUUUUUUCAGUUUAUGUUCAUUCUAAGUGUUCUUUAUUGGAGUGAGUGUAUGGUGUUAAGCUAGAUACGUUUUUGUAUUCUUAUGAUUAUCUGCUUUGCAAAAGUAACUUAAUUUUCUUAAGCAAUAUUAGCAUUCACAUUAC